AUGGGGCGGAAUUGGCUAAAAGGACUAAGCCCAUUAUAUUAGAGUAUUAGGGUUUCAACACAGCCGCCAAACUUUCACUUCCUCUCUCAUUUCACUUCUCUCUCUGUCUCGCUCUCUCUCUCCCCUCACUCAAUCUCCUCCCUCCAUUUUUGUUCAGUUGUGCUUGAUAAUUUUAGAUAUUUGAAACAACGACGAGAAGAAUCUUAUCUUCUUCUCUGAGAUCUGAGUUGAUCUGAUGAAUUAUGAGGACUGGAUUAGUGUUGAUUGGGAUAAUGAAGAUGGUAAAAAUGAUUGUUCAGUUGUUGGUGUUUGAUAUUCGUGUUCAAUUUUUCUGGGUUUUGUUUGGUUUUUCGUUUUCUGUUGACAAUCUAUUGCAUUGUUUUUUUUUUUUUUGAUGUCUUUCAUGAGAAGUGAGAAACCCAGUAUCGUGCGCUUGUUUAAACCGCCUCUCAAUUUCUUCAAUUUUUUUCAGAUCGAUCUAAAAUUUAAUUUCUCUAAUUUUCGACGCAUUUUCCAGCUUUGAAGGUCAACAAUAAUGGCAGGUAAAUACAUCGUCGUCUCACUCGAUGGAUCCUUUUUAUUGCUUAUGCUAGCGUUUACAUAAUGUCUUAUCAGAAGAUUUUUUGGAGGCAUGGCCUCAUACUGCUGGACCUCCGGUGGUGAUGAACCCUAUCAGUCGUCAGAACUUCAUCAUCGAGACUACUGAAUCUUGAAGGUUCUUUGUUUCAUGAUUUGGUUUACGUUUUUUUUGUCGAUUGUUAUUAUCUUUAAUUGGAACAACAGUUUUUUUUUUAAAAAAAAAUGGAACAACAACAGGAUGAAAAUUGUAUUGAUGUUUUGAUUAAAUUAGUAGAUUGGAACUCGUUAUAAAGGAUAUGAAAUAAUAAUGUUAUGAAACCAAACAUGUUUUUACUUAAGAGAUUCUGUUGCCUUGGUUUUUGGAAGUAGAUUUGUUGUUAAUAUGGCAAUUGUUAUUAUUGUUAUCUGUUUGGUGGUUAUGCUGGAAAUUUGAGUUUGUUGUUUGAUUAUUGUGAAUAGAAAUUGGGGUGAAUUCAAUUUGCGGUUUUUAUGAACACUUUUCCGUUAGUUCAUCUUCCUAUUUAUUUCAUUUCUUUUUAAUGUCCUUUUUUGUUUUUCUUCCCAAUUUUAUUGCUAUCUUCAAGCUUAAUUGUUGGGAUUUUAAUUGGUGAUAUUUAUUUGGGGCAUCAAAUUUUUUUAUUCAUAAUCCUUUAUAUUUGUCUUGAAAAAUUGAAAUUUUGUUCAGGUUAUCAUGGUUUUGAUAGAAUUAAUCAAUACUUGAUUUCUUAUCCUACAUUGGAUACGUGGAGUGAUUUUAAGAUUAUUGCUAACUUAUACCCACCCGAUUGGUUUUAGGGUGGAUUGUAUUUUUCUGUGUUUUUGAUGAUUUGUAUGAUUGUUUAUAAUUUGCUGGUGUUUGUUUAACAAUGUGUGGGUUUAGAUGAUGGUUUGGUUUUCUUAUUUAUAUGUUAUUUGAUUCUUUAUUAUUCUAUUUAAUUUUUGGGUAUUGUCAAUUCGUUUGAUUGUUUGGAGAUGGCAAGUAAAGUGAUAAUCUUGGAUUUUUUAUGGUUUGAUUAGGUGGGUGUAUAUUAUUGUAUAUAUAUUAUUGUUGAUUGAAUUGUAUUAAACUGUCAUUUUGAGUGGCUUUCAUGCGUAGCUUGCUGUUUCUUAGGGUGUUGAUGUGUGUUUAUGUAGGAUUUGUUGACUUGUAGCUCUAAGUAAGUGAAUAAGCUUAGUGGGUCUUUUCUAAAUGUAAUAUGUAGUGGAAUGAGCCAUAGACUAAUGGCAGUUUAAUACAAGGAAAAAUAACCUCCCAAGCAUGGGUUAAGGAUGCAUAUAGAAAGGACUGAAGAUGAUGGCUAGACCUUUGAUUUUGAAGCUUGUAAACCUCACAGCUAUUCCAUAAGCUGAAAAUUAUCCAGGAGCUCGACUCUGUAGUGUCUGUAUAUGUGAUCCUUGAUAUGAAGACCUUCCCAGUCCCAUAGCAUUGAAAUUACUCUUGUUUAUUAAUCUCUCUUUUUUGUCUUUUUUGUUUCUUUCUAGAUUUUAUGAUUAUCUUAACGUUCUGAACAUAUGUUCUACUAACUUUACAUUGUUUUGUGUAAUAUGAUUCUAAAUAAUUGAGUGUUCUUAUUUGCUAAUGUAUGAUGUGAGUGUUUCAGGUUCCUAAGGCAGCCUCGGAAUUUGAGAUCAAAGUUGCAACAACAUGGAAAAACGGUGGAAGAUGUAUAUUAUUACUAUUGAGAUUUGUUUUGCUCUAUUUUUAUAGUUUUUAUUAGGUAUUAUUAGGUAAUAAAGAAUGUAGGCAUUUAAUUUUUUUUUUUUUUUUGAAAGAAGAAUGUAGGCUUUACUGAUUGUAAUAAAGAAUGUAAACAUUUAUUUUAUUUUAUUUUAUUUUAAAAGAAGAAUGUAGGAUUGUAUAUAAUGUGUGUAAAAUAUAAUUUUAUAAAUUUCUCUAAUUAACGGAUAAAGAUUGUGCAAGUCCAAUCCAGCAUGUGCUGGAUUAUUAUUUUUUUUAAUUUGGGCAUACAUUAUUUGUAACGGGAAAAUGUCAUGCCCGUUACAAAUAACCCCUUAUUUGUAACGGGCAUUUUGGUGUCCGUUACGAAUAACCCCGUUAUCCGUAACGAGCAUUUGGGUGCCCGUUACGGAUAACAUGUUAUUCGUAACGGGCAUUUAAAAUGCGCG